AGUGAAACUGAUGUGUCAUAUGGUAUCUUUGCUUAACAUUUUGAGGAGCAGCCAAAAUAUUUUCCAAAGUGGAUAUACCUUUUACAGUCCCACCAACAAU
rnacentral:pre_miRNA from 1 species